rnacentral:antisense_RNA from 1 species
CCUCCCUCUGAGUCUCCAGCUCCUUCCCCCUUACCAUGAAAUGAGCUUCACGAAAUUGUCAUUGAGCGCAAUGCCGGCCUUAGCAUCGAAGAUGGACGAGUGGGUAUCACCGAGGAAGUCCAUAGAGACGACCUGGAAGUCAGAAUUUCAAAGAUAAGUGUGUCCGGCAGAGCAAGGACCUCCGGGAGCUGAGGCCCCGACUCUUAGCUGUAUCGCCCAUCCAUGCAUUCAUCUAUAAUAUUUGACGUAGCCCUACUGUGUCCAGUCUCUGGACUGGAGGGUAUGACCAAGUGCAGGGUAUGACCAAGGCACUGUGUCAGGGUCUGGCCAAAGGGCACAGGUCACAAACACCCUCAUGCUGUACCAGUACAUCCCUUUCCUAGGAAUAAUGCAAGCAUUUGGAAUGGGCCAGCAUGGAGGGCCUCUCUGAGGGGUGGCCAUGAGCCUGGGUCUAGAUGACUAGAAAGAUCUGACCAGCUGGGGCCCUCAGCACAGUGUCUGAGGUAGAAGGAGCUGCAGGAAUGGAGGACCUGAGGGUUUUAGCCCUAGUGUCAUGAAAGGCCACAGGAGUGUUUUCAAUCCUGAAAACGGGUGAUGCAAUGUGAUUGUAUUAAAACAAAAGAUCCCGGUGACUGUGGGAAAGUGGACCUGCAGGAGUUAAUGCAGGGAGACAACACCAAGGUGGACGUAUAGGGGUCCACCAUGACCAUGGCAUCCACUCCUCACAGAGAAGGCAUCUGGCCAUGGCCUGGCCCUGAGCUAGUAUUGAAAAAAAUGGGAGCUGUUGUCUUUUGUUCACUAAGCAUGUAUUAGUCACCUGCUGUAUGCCAGGUUGGAGCCACAAAAGUGAAAAUGCAGCCCCUAAAUCCCUGUUUUCUUGGAAUGCACACACCACUGGGGCCAACAUUGACUAUGAAAUGAAAUUUCAGAUGAGGAAUAUGGCCACAAAAACAACAUCUUUUGAUGGGGUGCUUUGCUGAAGAGGGAGGUUCCUCCAGAGACUUGGAGGAAGUAAGGACAGACUGUAUGGUCACCUGGCAAGGGAAGCAUUCCAGACUAAAGGAACAGCAAGUGCAAAGGCCCUGAGGCAGGGAGAUCUCCCUUCCUGCCCUGCAGUUUCUGUCUUGGCACAUUGAGAGUAGCUCCCUGGCAAGUGGAAAUCAUGUCCUUUCCCAGAGGGCUCCUCCCAGGGUCUCCUCUCCUCAGCCCCUACCUCAUCCUCGGUGUAGGCAAGGAUGCCAGCCAUGGGCCCCUUGGCUGCUGCUUUUACAGCCUCCUUGAUGGCUGAGUAGGGGGCAGGCUGGGCGAGGCGGCAGGUCAGGUCCACGACAGACACAUCCGGGGUUGGUACCCGGAACGCCAUCCCUGUCAGCUUCCUGGAGAAUCCCCCAUGAGGAACAGGAGUCAGGACUUAGGGACGUUGCCCUCCAUUCCCCCUUGCCCUGUGGCUGGGCCAGGCCCCUGCUUUCCUCUUAAGGACUGAGGGCCAGGCCAGUCCAGUCCUCCCGGCGUAUGCCCCCACCCUGGUUGCAGCUUCUUUUCCUCAUACCCUUUGAGCUCUGGGAUGACUUUGGUCACAGCUUUCGCAGCCCCAGUGGAGGCUGGGAUGAUGUUCUGGUGGGCACCCCGCCCAUCUCGCCAGGCCUUCCUUGAUGGCCCGUCCACCGUCUUCUGGGUGGCCGUGUAGGAAUGGAUUGUGGUCUUGGGGAAGAGAAGGACCAAAAUGAGGCCUUCAUGCUCCUAAGCUCCCAUGCCUCUUUUUUCCAGGACUAAGUUGGUGGCCUAGGUGUGGAGGCUGGUGGGGCCACCACCACAGACCACAGGAGGGGAUGUGUGCAGGCCAGGGUCCAGCCUUGCCUGAGGGUUGCACAGUGUUUUAAAUGACUUCUGCACUGGCGGGCCUCUCCUCCCGAAACCAGUCUCUCCCUCUUAACUCCAUACAGUAAGCAAGGCCCGGUAAGAAGUUGGGUUUCCCUGCCAUCCUUCCUGCCCCAGCCCCUCAUCCUCAACUCACCAUCAACCCUUCCACGAUCCCAAAUUGCUCGUGGAUGACUUUGGCGAGGGGAGCCAAACAGUUGGUGGUGCAGGACGCGUUGCUGAAACAGCCAAGGUGUGCACGGACACUGUGAGGUGGUGACCUCCCCAACUCAGCCCUCAACCUCCUCAGAGGCGCCAACGCUGACUGCUGUCAGCCAGCCCAGACCCUUUCUCCAUAUGCUGCCCGGGACGUGGACUCUGACUGUGAGGCCUGCCCGGCUGCUUUCUGCUUCCCAGCCCUGACAACCUCGCCACGAACCCUCCUAGACCCUCAGCUCCUACAAUAGGAAGCUGGCUGCCAAAGGCCAGGAGAGUCCCUGAAGACAGACACUGCAUUAAAGAAAAAGCUCCUGGAGGACUCCUGAAGCCUGAGGCAGCCUUGGGGCGGCAGUGGCUCAUGGUUUACAUUAGAAAGGUUUAUCAUGAGUAACCAGGUGCUUUGCUUCUGUGAUUCUCGGCCAGUGUAGGUCUGUUUCCUUUGCCAUUGAGCCUGCUCCUCUCAAUGGGGGUUCAAUCAAUGUUUGUGGGGUUUGUUUGUUUUGAGACAGGGUCUUCCUCUGUCGCCCAGGCUGGAGUGCAGUGGUGCAAUCAGAGCUCACCGCAGCCUUGAUCUUCCUGGCUCCGGCCAUCCUCCUGCCUUGGCCUCCCGAGUAGCUGGGAAUACAGGCGCACGCCACCAUGCCCAGCUAAUUUUUAAAUUUUUUUGUAGAGAUGGGGUCUCACUUUUGUUGCCCAGGGUGCUUUAGAACCCCUGGGCUCAAGUGAUCCUUGGCCUCCCACAGUGCUGGGAUUACAGGUGUGAGCCACCGUGCCUGGCCUCAUGGGUUUUCUUUGUUUGUUUUGUUUUGUUUUGUUUUUGAGACAGAGUCUCACUCUGUCACUCAGGCUGGAGUGCAGUGGCACGAUUUUGGCUCACUGCAACCUCCACCUUCCGGGUUCAAGCGAUUCUCCUGCCUCCGCCUCCUGAGUAGUUGGGGUUACAGGCAUGCGCUACCACACCUGGCUAGUUUUUUAUUGUUGUUGUUUUUUGUAUUUUUAGUGGUGACGGGGUUUUGCUCUGUUGGCCAGGCUGGUCUCAAACUCCUGACCUCAGGUGAUCCCCACUGCAGCCUCCCAAAGUGCUGGGAUGACAGGCAUGAGCCGCUGCACCUGGCCUCGUGUUUUUUUUUUUUUAGUUAGCCAUUUUAUACAUCUUUACUGAACACCUGUCCUGUGCCCGUAUUCUAAGUGCCUUACCUGUAUUAAACUCAUGUAACCUUCACAACCCA